AACCGACUUCUAUCAGCGUGGCCGCCUGUGUCCUGUAGUUAAACAUAAAAUAGGAAAGAAAGCCACUGUUGAUAACACAAGAGUGUAGGAGAAUGAAGAAGGCUGUGAGAAGCUGUAAUACACUGAAUUUCUGGACAAAUCCCAGGUGGGAAAGCUUAAUCUUUGAAGGACACACACCGGAUACUGGUCUGCAGCCCGGGGGUUGGGGACCCCUGCUCUAAGGCACCAGGUACCAGGCACGUUGCAGGGAAAAUGGUGCAGCAAAAGGCCACGGAGUCAAACAAUUGCCAC